UUCAAAUGAGUAAAGGCUUACGGUGGAUACCUUAGGCACCCACGAGACGAGGAAGGGCGUAGCAAUCGACGAAACGCUUCGAGUAGUUGAAUAUUAGUAUAGAUCCGAAGAUCCCCGAAUAGGUAAACCUUUAAAACUGCUACUUUAUUGAAAAUUUAAAGCAGGCAAGAGAAAACCCGGUGAACUGAAACAUCUGAGUAUCCGGAGGAAAAGAAAGCAAAAGCGAUUCCCUAAGUAGUGGUGAGCGAAAUGGGAGCAGUCUAAACCGUGAAUAACGGAGUUGUGGGGGAGCAAAAAAGUAGAGUUCUGAUGUUCGGUGAAGAGGUGGAGUACCGAAACCCUAGAUGGUGAUAGUCCAGUAACCAAAAACAUCACUAACUGACGCUUUCACCCCGAGUAACAUGGAACACGUGUAAUUCCGUGUGAAUACGCAAGGACCACCUUGCAAGGCUAAAUACUUCUGGGUGACCGAUAGCGAAGAAAGUACCGUGAGGGAAAGGUGAAAAGAACCCCCGGACUGGGGAGUGAAAGAGAACAUGAAACCGCGAGCUACCAAGCAGUAGGAGGGGAGAGCUUAAUUUCUGACUACGUGCCUUUUGAAGAAUGAGCCGGCGACUCAUAGGUAUUGGCUCGGUUAAGGGAAAAUUUACCGUAGCCUUAGCGAAAGCGAGUCCUAACGAGGCGAUUGUCACUACUUAUGGACCCGAACCUGGGUGAUCUAUCCAUGACCAGGAUGAAACUUGGAUGAAACUAAGUGGAGGUCCGAACCGACUGAUGUUGAAGAAUCAGCGGAUGAGUUGUGGUUAGGGGUGAAAUGCCACUCGAACCCAGAGCUAGCUGGUUCUCCCCGAAAUGCGUUGAGGCGCAGCAGUUGACUAGACGUAUAGGGGUAAAGCACUUUUUUGGUUAGGGCCGCGAGAGCGAUACCAAAUCGAGAUAAACUCUGAAUACUAGAUGUGAACCCACAAAUAGGGUUCAAGGUUGGCUGGUGAGACAAUGGGGGAUAAGCUUCAUUGUCUAGAGGGAAACAGCCCGGAUCACCAGCUAAGGUCCCUAAAUGAUCGCUAAGUAAUUAAGGAUGUAGGGGUGCCGAGACAUUCAUGAGGUUUGCCUAGAAGCAGCCAUCCUAUAAAGAGUGCGUAAUAGCUCACUGAUCCAGCGCUCUUGCGCCAAAAAUGAAAGGGAUUAAGCGAUCUGCCGAAGCUGUGGGAUGAAAAUCGGUAGGGGAGUAUUCCGCUUUAGAUGGAAGCACCUGCGUAAGCGGGCGUGGAUGAAGCGGAAGUGAGAAUGUCGGUUUAAGUAACGCAAACAUUGGUGAGAAUCCAAUGCCCCGAGAAUCUAAGGGUUCCUCUGCAAGGCUCGUCCCCAGAGGGUUAGUCAGGACCUAAGAUUAGGUCGAAAGGAGUAUUUGAUGGACGACAGGCAAAUAUUCCUGUACUAUCCCUUGUUGGUCCCGAAGGACGGAGAAGGAUAAAGUUAGCCAAGAGAUUCUUUUUGGCUCAAGGAAUUAAGGCGACUCUGAAUUAGUAAGGUCUGAAAAGGGGUGGUGUAAAUACCUCCGAGCUAAUUGCCAAGUACCAGGCGCCAUGGCGCUUAAGUAACCUAAUUUCAUACUCCCAGGAAAAGCUCGAAUGACCUUAAACAAGAGGGUACCUGUACCCAAAACCAACACAGGUGGAUUGGUAGAGAAUACCUAGGGGCUCGAGGUAACUCUCUCUAAGGAACUCGGCAAAAUAGCCCCGUAACUUCGGGAGAAGGGGUGCCCUCUCAAUAAAGGGGGCCGCAGUGAUCAGGCCCGGGCGACUGUUUAACAAAAACACAGGUCUCCGCAAAGUCGUAAGACCAUGUAUGGGGGCUGACGCCUGCCCAGUGCCGGAAGGUUAAGUAAGUUGGUGAUCUGAUGACAGAGUAGCCGACGAUCGAAGUCCCGGUGAACGGCGGCCGUAACUAUAACGGUCCUAAGGUAGCGAAAUUCCUUGUCGGGUAAGUUCCGACCCGCACGAAAGGCGUAACGAUUUGGGCGCUGUCUCGGAGAGAGGCUCGGUGAAAUAGAAAUGUCUGUGAAGAUGCGGACUACCUUCACCUGGACAGAAAGACCCUAUGAAGCUUUACUGUUCCUUGGGAUUGAUUUUUGGUCUUUACUGCACAGUUUAUAGGUGGAGGGCAAAAAAAGCCCCUUCGGGGGGCACGAGCCGCCAGUGAGAUACCACUCUGUAAAAGCUGGAAUUCUAACCUUGUGCCAUAACUGACGGUUCAAGGGACAGUCUUAGGUAGACAGUUUAUAUGGGGCGUAGGCCUCCCAAAAGGUAACGGAGGCGCACAAAGGUUAUCUCGAACCGUACGGAGAUCGGUUCACGAGUGUAAGGGCAGAAGGGAGCCUGACUGCAAGACUUACUUUUCGAGCAGGGACGAAAGUCGGUCCUAGUGAUCCGACGGUUCCGGGUGGAAGGGCCGCCGCUCAACGGAUAAAAGUUACUCUAGGGAUAACAGGCUUAUCUUUCCCAAGAGUUCACAUCGACGGGAAGGUUUGGCACCUCGAUGUCGGCUCUUCGCCACCUGGGGCUGUAGCAUGUUCCAAGGGUUGGGCUGUUCGCCCAUUAAAGCGGUACGUGAGCUGGGUUCAGAACGUCGUGAGACAGUUCAGUCCAUAUCCGGUGCGGGCGUUAGAGCAUUGAUGGGACCUUUCUCUAGUACGAGAGGACCGGGAAGGGCGCACCUCUGGUGUACCAGUUAUCGUCCUAUACGGUAAAUGCUGGGUAGCCAAGUACGAGGAAGAUAAUUGCUGAAAGCAUCUAAGUAGUAAGCCCGCCUAAGGAUGAGUGCUCUCCU
rnacentral:rRNA from 1 species